AACACUAUCCUGAUGCUGUCAGAGUAUGUGGUAAAGCUCCAGCAUCAGUGAUUUUGUUGU
rnacentral:pre_miRNA from 1 species